CUUCACCUGAUGCUACUGCUAUGAAAAAGAUCAGUUUCAGCUCAUUCCUUGCUGGAGCAACUUUAGAACUCUGUGUUUCCAAAAGCACAGCCUGAACCCUACCUUGUGAUGUGGUGUCUUGCAUGAACCUCAACCAGGCAAUACCAAUCCUUGGGUGAAUACCAGAAAGAAGAGAAGUUAACAUGUGAAAGAAUUGGCCACGGUAUGAUCUCAACGGUGCCUUCUGCAACAUAAAACUUCAGUAACUUCUGUAUGAGCUGGCUGCAGCUGUACAUGUAGAUCAACACUUUCUGUGCACCAAGAAUUUUAUACAUUUCCAUGCUUUGUAUGAACUGCAAGACAUUGCUGUCGUUUCCAAACAUGCCAGAGAGACAAACAGUGAAUUCAGCGGAAAAAGAAUCCCUGGGCACACGGUUUCUAAUUUCAAAUCUUGGUAUCUUGUCGAUUUUUCCUCUAGGUGAUGAAUGAAUUGAGACAUAUUUUGGAAAACA